rnacentral:sRNA from 1 species
GCUGGGCAUGGUGGUGCAUGCCUGUAAUCCCAGAAGCUUGGGAGGCUGAGGCAGGAGGAUCACAAAUUCAAAGCCAGACUCAGCAACUUAGCAAGGCCUAAGCAACUUAGCAAGACCCUGUCUCAA